UGAGGAAUAUUGGUCAAUGGACGGAAGUCUGAACCAGCCAAGUAGCGUGCAGGAAGACGGCCCUAUGGGUUGUAAACUGCUUUUAUACGGGGGUAAAGUGUGCCACGUGUGGCAUAUUGCAAGUACCGUAAGAAAAAGGAUCGGCUAAUUCCGUGCCAGCAGCCGCGGUAAUACGGAAGAUCCGAGCGUUAUCCAGAUUUAUUGGGUUUAAAGGGAGCGUAGGCGGAAGUUCAAGUCAACUGUGAAAGUUUGUGGCUUAACCAUAGAAUUGCAGUUGAAACUGAAUUUCUUGAGUGUACAUAAGGAUGGUGGAAUUUGUGGUGUAGCGGUGAAAUGCAUAGAUAUCACGAAGAACUCCGAUUGCGAAGGCAGCCAUCCGGGGUACAACUGACGCUGAGGCUCGAAAGUGCGGGAAUCAAACAGGAUU
rnacentral:rRNA from 1 species